GGUGAUGUGGCCGAGUGGUUAGGCGCUACCAAGUUUGAUAGAGGCAGUCCCGACUCCCCAGCAGCCGCAGCAGUUCCCGACUCCCCAGCAUCAGACGCACGCGGUAGUAACCCGGGUUCGAACCCCGGCAUCGCCA